rnacentral:rRNA from 1 species
GAUGAACGCUGGCGGCGUGCCUAAUACAUGCAAGUCGAGCGAACAGACGAGUAGCUUGCUCCUCUGACGUUAGCGGCGGACGGGUGAGUAACACGUGGAUAACCUACCUAUAAGACUGUGAUCACUUCGGGAAACCGGAGCUAAUACCGGCUAAUAUCUUGAACCGCAUGGUUCAAUAGUGAAAGCCGGUUUUGCUGUCACUUAUAGAUGGAUCCGCGCCGCAUUAGCUAGUUGGUAAGGUAACGGCUUACCAAGGCGACGAUGAGUAGCCGACCUGAGAGGGUGAUCGGCCACACUGGAACUGAGACACGGUCCAGACUCCUACGGGAGGCAGCAGUAGGGAAUCUUGCGCAAUGGGCGAAAGCCUGACGGAGCAACGCCGCGUGAGUGAUGAAGGUCUUCGGAUCGUAAAACUCUGUUAUUAGGGAAGAACAAAUGUGUAAGUAACUAUGCACGUCUUGACGGUACCUAAUCAGAAAGCCACGGCUAACUACGUG